rnacentral:rRNA from 1 species
GAUCAUGGCUCAGGACGAACGCUGGCGGCGUGCCUAACACAUGCAAGUCGAACGGAGUGUUGCGCUGAAUAUGAGAUUAGCUUGCUAAAGGAAUAUUCUUGUAACACUUAGUGGCGGACUGGUGAGUAACGCGUGAGCAACCUGCCUUACAGAGGGGGACAACAUUGGGAAACCGAUGCUAAUACCGCAUGACAUAUUCGAAAGGCAUCUUUUGAAUAUCAAAGGAGCAA